rnacentral:rRNA from 1 species
CAAAAACAUGUCCUUUUGAAUAUUAAUUUAAGGUCUGGCCUGCCCGCUGACGAUUUGUUAAAUGGCCGCAGUAUUUUAACUGUGCAAAGGUAGCAUAAUCAUUAGUCUUUUAAUUGGAGGCUUGUAUGAAUGGUUGGACGAAACACUAGCUGUUUCACAUGAAUUUAUUUAGAAUUUUAUUUUUUAGUAAAAAAGCUAAAAUAGUUUUAAAAGACGAGAAGACCCUAUAGAUCUUUAUAAUUUUGUUGUUAUGAUUAUUUAGAUUAUUUUGGUUAUAAUUAAUUAGAUUAUUUUAUUGGGGUGAUAUUGAAAUUUAAUUAACUUUCAAUUAUUUUUACAUAAAUUAAUGAAUUUUUGAUCCAGUUUUAUUGAUUAUUAAGUUAAGUUACCUUAGGGAUAACAGCGUAAUUUUUUUGGAGAGUUCAUAUCGAUAAAAAGGAUUGCGACCUCGAUGUUGGAUUAAGAUAUAACUUUAGGUGCAGCAAUUUAAGUGAUUAAGUCUGUUCGCUUUUAAUUUCUUACAUGAUCU